rnacentral:rRNA from 1 species
GAAGUUAGCGGCGGACGGGUGAGUAACACGUGGGUAACCUGCCCAUAAGACUGGGAUAACUCCGGGAAACCGGGGCUAAUACCGGAUAACAUUUUGAACNGCAUGGUUCGAAAUUGAAAGGCGGCUUCGGCUGUCACUUAUGGAUGGACCCGCGUCGCAUUAGCUAGUUGGUGAGGUAACGGCUCACCAAGGCAACGAUGCGUAGCCGACCUGAGAGGGUGAUCGGCCACACUGGGACUGAGACACGGCCCAGACUCCUACGGGAGGCAGCAGUAGGGAAUCUUCCGCAAUGGACGAAAGUCUGACGGAGCAACGCCGCGUGAGUGAUGAAGGCUUUCGGGUCGUAAAACUCUGUUGUUAGGGAAGAACAAGUGCUAGUUGAAUAAGCUGGCACCUUGACGGUACCUAACCAGAAAGCCACGGCUAACUACGUGCCAGCAGCCGCGGUAAUACGUAGGUGGCAAGCGUUAUCCGGAAUUAUUGGGCGUAAAGCGCGCGCAGGUGGUUUCUUAAGUCUGAUGUGAAAGCCCACGGCUCAACCCGUGGAGGGUCAUUGGAAACUGGGAGACUUGAGUGCAGAAGAGGAAAGUGGAAUUCCCAUGUGUACGCGGUGAAAUGCGUAGAGAUAUGGAGGAACCACCCCAGUGGCGAAGGCGACUUUCUGGU